rnacentral:rRNA from 1 species
UACGGAGGAUUCAAGCGUUAUCCGGAUUCAUUGGGUUUAAAGGGUGCGCAGGCGGGCCUUUAAGCCGGCGGUGAAAUCGUGGAGCUCAACUCCAUCCAGCCGUUGAAACUGAUGAUCUUGAGUGGGCGAGAAGUAUGCGGAAUGCGUGGUGUAGCGGUGAAAUGCAUAGAUAUCACGCAGAACUCCGAUUGCGAAGGCAGCAUACCGGCGCCAGACUGACGCUGAGGCACGAAAGCGUGGGGAUCGAACAGG